AGUCCUUGCCUUUUCAGCUUGAAACUCUCCUCAGCAUGGCACAUCAGUAUGACGUCACCUCAGAAAGUUGGGAGAAUGAGAAUCACAAUAAAGAAAUUGAAGAUUUAAG